AGCGAACGCUGGCGGCAGGCUUAACACAUGCAAGUCGAACGGGCACUUCGGUGCUAGUGGCAGACGGGUGAGUAACACGUGGGAACGUACCUUUCGGUUCGGAAUAAUCCAGGGAAACUUGGACUAAUACCGGAUACGCCCUUCGGGGGAAAGAUUCAUCGCCGAUAGAUCGGCCCGCGUCUGAUUAGCUAGUUGGUGAGGUAAUGGCUCACCAAGGCGGCGAUCAGUAGCUGGUCUGAGAGGAUGAUCAGCCACAUUGGGACUGAGACACGGCCCAAACUCCUACGGGAGGCAGCAGUGGGGAAUAUUGGACAAUGGGCGCAAGCCUGAUCCAGCCAUGCCGCGUGAGUGAUGAAGGCCUUAGGGUUGUAAAGCUCUUUUGUCCGGGAAGAUAAUGACUGUACCGGAAGAAUAAGCCCCGGCUAACUUCGUG
rnacentral:rRNA from 1 species